GAGAGCUUGCUCUCUGGAUCAGUGGCGAACGGGUGAGUAACACGUGAGCAACCUGCCCCGGACUCUGGGAUAACAGCUGGAAACAGCUGCUAAUACCGGAUACGAGCUGCGAAGGCAUCUUCAGCAGCUGGAAAGAAUUUCGGUCCGGGAUGGGCUCGCGGCCUAUCAGCUAGUUGGUGAGGUAAUGGCUCACCAAGGCGUCGACGGGUAGCCGGCCUGAGAGGGUGACCGGCCACACUGGGACUGAGACACGGCCCAGACUCCUACGGGAGGCAGCAGUGGGGAAUAUUGCACAAUGGGCGAAAGCCUGAUGCAGCAACGCCGCGUGAGGGAUGACGGCCUUCGGGUUGUAAACCUCUUUUAGCAGGGAAGAAGCGAAAGUGACG
rnacentral:rRNA from 1 species